rnacentral:rRNA from 1 species
UACGUAGGGGGCAAGCGUUGUCCGGAAUCAUUGGGCGUAAAGCGCGUGUAGGUGGCUCGGUAAGUCCGCUGUGAAAGUCCAGGGCUCAACCCUGGAAAGCCGGUGGAAACUGUCGAGCUCGAGUCCGGAAGAGGCGAGUGGAAUUCCUGGUGUAGCGGUGAAAUGCGCAGAUAUCAGGAGGAACACCAAUGGCGAAGGCAGCUCGCUGGGACGGUACUGACACUGAGACGCGAAAGCGUGGGGAGCAAACAGG